GACGAACGCUGGCGGCGUGCCUAAUACAUGCAAGUUGAGCGCUGAAGGUUGGUACUUGUACCAACUGGAUGAGCAGCGAACGGGUGAGUAACGCGUGGGGAAUCUGCCUUUGAGCGGGGGACAACAUUUGGAAACGAAUGCUAAUACCGCAUAAAAACUUUAAACACAAGUUUUAAGUUUGAAAGAUGCAAUUGCAUCACUCAAAGAUGAUCCCGCGUUGUAUUAGCUAGUUGGUGAGGUAAAGGCUCACCAAGGCGAUGAUACAUAGCCGACCUGAGAGGGUGAUCGGCCACAUUGGGAUUGAGACACGGCCCAAACUCCUACGGGAGGCAGCAGUAGGGAAUCUUCGGCAAUGGACGAAAGUCUGACCGAGCAACGCCGCGUGAGUGAAGAAGGUUUUCGGAUCGUAAAACUCUGUUGGUAGAGAAGAACGUUGGUGAGAGUGGAAAGCUCAUCAAGUGACGGUAACUACCCAGAAAGGGACGGCUAACUACGUG
rnacentral:rRNA from 1 species